UCGUGCGGCCGCCAUCGCCGCCACCACCUACGCGGUUCUCUCUUGUUGUUCUCACAGAUACCUUGCUUUGUUUUCUUUUUUAAGGAUCCCUACACCCACUAAGACGUAGUCGCGCGUCGCCAUAAGGGACAACAGCACCAUCAGCAGCAGCAGUACUGCGCCUCUUUUCUGGGUGUGUGGCUGGUCUGGGACAAACGGUAGAAAGCGGUCGCCGGCUCGUUGGCGUGUACACACCGCCCCCCCCCUUCCCCUUUUGUUGCUCCGGCGCCACCGCGAGGUUUUUUUAUCUCUAGCGUGUCUUUGAAGAGCUUGUGCUCGCUUAAUGUGGCAGUUGUGGUUGUCGACGCUGCCUUGACCUCCUUCUGUCCCACCUUCCCUCUUUGCGGAGUCCAUCAUCUCUCACAGGCGUGCGUUAUGCUGCGCUCUAGUGCCCCCCUCUGCACCCUGGGCGGCAGUAUUGUCCAUAGCAAAGCCCUCGUCGCCCCCGUCUCGGAGGUGGUGAUCCGCGAUGCCGGCACCCACCUACCCGGUAUCCCGCAUGCGAACCGCGUGUGCCGCUCCUAUCGGCAGUGGCUCAAGCUCGCUGUUCUCUGCCCACCUAGCGCCCUGUGCGACCUUAACGAGCACGCGCAGAUGAACGAGCGCUUUGUGAUUAUUCUACGGCAGAAGUUCCGCGAAGGGGCCGCACUGCGCGACCCGGACCAGAUCGCCGUGGCAGUGCAGUCGUGUGAGCGCAGUCUCGCCAUGUUCCGCUUCCUCGCCGCAGACGGCGCAAAGCGCAAGUUCCCGGAGGCAAAGCCGCGGCUGAACCUUCACAAGAUGGGCUUCUUGGAGAUGGGCAAGCUAAACUACAAGCAGAUGGUGAAAGAGUACUGGAACACCUAUGUGCUGCGCAAGUGGUAGCACUCGCGUCGAAGAGGCACAUCGCAGGAAUGGAGAAGAGGGGGGGGGGAGACUCUGCGUGUGUGUUGGUCUCUGCAUCGUGUGUGUGUGUGUGUGUGUGUGUGUGUGUGUGUCUCGUGAGUAACGGUCAGUCUCUCACAGCCGGCGGUGAGUCGUGUUAUCUUUGGGUGACGCUGCAUGAGAAGCGGUGCCUUUCUCUUCUUGUUUUUUGCUUGCCGAAGCAGCAGCUCAUGCCCAUCUCUCUGUCGGCGUGUGCCUGUGUGGGCGUGUGUGUGCAUACCUCCCUUCUCUUUACAUUCGUGUUCUUCUUACAGAAUGAGCAGCAACGACAGCGGCCGUCAACGGUAGGGAAGCUGACGCCUGAUAAGGCGCGAUGAAAGCAACAGAGGGUUUCCUUCGUGGUUGCGUGUGUGGUGGUGGGGGGGGGGUUCUUUUUUAGUGCUACCGAUCCUCCGCUCCAUCGCACAUACACACACACACACACACACACGCAUAAGCCCACGGGCCUGGCAUAGCGAGUAUGCUGAAGCUUCUUCCACUCGGCGCACGUGUCCGGACGCGUGGUGUCUCUUGAAUACCCUUUCUCCCUCAUGAACCGGAGAUUCGACCUGACGAGCAUCAUGUCGUCUUCAUCUUCUCCUACCCUCCGCCCGGCAUCUCACCCCCCCCCUUACCCUCUUACACACGUGCACACACUCACUUCUCUGCGGCCAUCUUCCUCACUGCCCGUGGGACGCCCAUGACGUGACGGAUGCUGGUAUUCUAAUGGAGCUAUGUGGUUUCUCUCGCUCCUACUCGGGCACACACACACAAACCUCGAGUGCUAUUCGCCCAUUACCAUCACCGCCACCACUCCACAUACACACAAAUUCCUCCACCACUGCGGGCUGGACGCGGCCGACGUCGUCUCCCACUUUUUCUGCUUGCCUUCCUCCUCCCUUCCCGCUGCCGUCUGGUCUCAACGUGUGUGUGUGUGUGUGUGCGUGUGAGUGUCGUCCUCUCGAAG
rnacentral:misc_RNA from 1 species